rnacentral:rRNA from 1 species
AUACGGGAGGCAGCAGUUGGGAAUCUUGGACAAUGGGGGAAACCCUGAUCCAGCCAUGCCGCGUGAGUGAUGAAGGCCUUAGGGUUGUAAAGCUCUUUUACCCGGGAAGAUAAUGACUGUACCGGGAGAAUAAGCUCCGGCUAACUUCGUGCCAGCAGCCGCGGUAAUACGAAGGGGGCUAGCGUUGUUCGGAAUUACUGGGCGUAAAGCGUGCGCAGGCGGUCUCUCAAGUCAGGGGUGAAAGCCCAGAGCUCAACUCUGGAAUUGCCUUUGAAACUGUGAGGCUUGAGUGCGGGAGAGGUGAGUGGAAUUCCCAGUGUAGAGGUGAAAUUCGUAGAUAUUGGGAAGAACACCGGUGGCGAAGGCGGCUCACUGGCCCGUUUCUGACGCUCAUGCACGAUAGCGUGGGGAUCAAACAGGAUUAGAUACCCCCGUAGUCCU